rnacentral:lncRNA from 10 species
GGCAUGGUGGCACAUGCCUGUAAUCCCAGCUACUGGAGAGGCUGAGGCAGGAGAAUCACUUGAACCCGGGAGGCGGAGGUUGCCGUGAGGUGAGAUCGCGCCACUGCACUCCAGCCUGGGCAACAAGAGCGAAACUCCGUCUCAAAAAAAAAAAAAAAGUAUAUAUUUUUAAAAGACAUUGGCCGGGUGCGGUGGCUCACGCCUGUAAUCCCAGCACUUUGGGAGGCCGAGGUGGGCAGAUCACGAGGUCAGGAGAUCGAGACCAUCCUGGCCAACACAGUAAAACCCCGUCUCUACUAAAAAUACAAAAAUUAGCUGGGCACGGUGGUGCAUGCCUGUAAACCCAGCUACCAGGUACUCGGGAGGCUGAGGCAGGAGAAUCGCUUGAACCAGGGAGUCGGAGGUUGCGGUGAGCUGAGAUCAUGCCACUGCACUGCGGCCUGGAGACAAGAGCAAGACUCCGUCUCAAAAAAAAAAAAAAAAAGAAAAAAAAAAAGACAUCAACUAAUUGCAGUGUGUGGACCUUAUUUGGCUCUUAAUUCAAACUAUUAAA